rnacentral:lncRNA from 1 species
ACCACGACCUUCGGGCGCUUAUUUUCGUUCGCGGCUUUGCCCGCGCCUUAUUUUUGGCACCCCGAGGCCCCUCGCAAAGUCUCGCCCCAUUCCGAGUCCGGCGGACGAACUUCGCCCUCGCCCCCCACCAAGGCUAUAGCCCACCCGUUUUUUGGCCAUUUUUCCGCUGGGAGUUUUGGCGCCACGACCUUCGGGCGCUUAUUUUUGGGUGCGGCUUUGCCCGCGGCUUAUUUUUGAUGCUCCCAGGCCCCUCGAAAAGUCUCGCCCCAUUCCGAGUCCGGUGGACGAACUUCGCCCGCGCCCCCCACCAAGGCUAUAGCCCACCCGUUUUUUGGCCAUUUUUCCGCUGGGGGGUUUUGGCACCACGACCUUUGGGCGCUUAUUUUUGGGCGCGGCUUUGCCCGCGGCUUAUUUUUGCCACCCCGAGGCCCCUCGCAAAGUCUCGCCCCAUUCCGAGUCCGGCGGACGAAGUUCGCCCGCGCCCCCCACCAAGGCUGUAGCCCACCCGUUUUUUGGCCAUUUUUCCGCUGGGGGUUUUGGCACCACGACCUUCGGGCGCUUAUUUCUGGACGCGGCUGUGCCCGCGACUUCCCGCGGGCACCCCGAGGCUCCUCACAAAGUCUCGCCCGAUUCCGAGUCCGGCGGACGAACUUCGCCCGCGCCCCCCACCAAGGCUAUAGCCCACCCGUUUUUUGGCCAUUUUUCCGCUGGGGGGUUUUGGCACCACGACCUUUGGGCGCUUAUUUUUGGGCGCGGCUUUGCCCGCGGCUUAUUUUUUGUACCCCGAGGGCCCUCGCAAAGUCUCGCCCCAUUCCGAGUCCGGCGGACGAACUUCGCCCGCGCCCCCCACCAAGGCUAUAGCCCACCCGUUUUUUGGCCAUUUUUCCGCUGGGGGGUUUUGGCACCACAACCUUCGGGCGCUUAUUUUUGGACGCGGCUGUGCCCGCAACUUCCCGCGGGCACCCCGAGUCCCCUCGCAAAGUCUCGCCCCAUUCCGAGUCCGGCGGACGAACUUCGCCCGCGUCCCCCACCAAGGCUAUAGCCCACCCGUUUUUUGGCNNNNNNNNNNNNNNNNNNNNNNNNNNNNNNNNNNNNNNNNNNNNNNNNNNNNNNNNNNNNNNNNNNNNNNNNNNNNNNNNNNNNNNNNNNNNNNNNNNNNGGGGGUUUUCGCACCACGACCUUCGGGCGCUUAUUUUUGGGGGCGGCUUUGCCCGCGGCUUAUUUUUGGCACCCCGAGGCCCCUAGCAAAGUCUCGCCCCAUUCCGAGUCCGGCGGACAAACUUCGCCCGCGCCCCCCACCAAGGCUAUAGCCCACCCGUUUUUUGGCCAUUUUUCGGCUGGGGGGUUUUGGCACCACGACCUUCGGGCGCUUAUUUUUGGGCGAGGCUUUGCCCGCGGCUUAUUUUUGGCACCCCGAGGCCCCUCGCAAAGUCUCGCCCCAUUCCGAGUCCGGCGGACGAACUUCGCCCGCGCCCCCCACCAAGGCUAUAGCCCACCCGUUUUUUGGCAAUUUUUCCGCUGGGGGGUUUUGGCACCACGACCUUCGGGCGCUUAUUUUUAGACGCGGCUGUGCCCGCGACUUCCCGCGGGCACCCCGAGGCCCCUCGCAAAGUCUCGCCCCAUUCUGAGUCCGGCGUACGAACUUCGCCCGCGCCCCCCACCAAGGUUAUAGCCCACCCGUUUUUUGGCCAUUUUUCCGCUGGGGGGUUUUGGCACCACGACCUUCGGGCGCUUAUUUUUGGGCCCGGCUUUGCCCGCGGCUUAUUUUUGGUGCCCCGAGGCCCCGCGCAAAGUCUCGCCCCAUUCCGAGUCCGGCGGACGAACUUCGCCCGCACCCCCCACCAAAGCUAUAGCCCACCCGUUUUUUGGCCAUUUUUCCGCUGGGGGGUUUUGGCACCACGACCUUCGGGCGCUUAUUUUUGGGCGCGGCCUUGCCCGCGGCUAUUUUUGGCACCCCGAGGCCCCUCGCAAAGUCUCGCCCCAUUCCGAGUCUGGCGGACGAACUUCUCCCGCGCCCCCCACCAAGGCUAUAGCCCACCCGUUUUUUGGCCAUUUUUCCGCUGGGGGUUUUGGCAACACGACCUUCGGGCGCUUAUUUUUGGACGUGGCUGUGCCCGCGACUUCCCGCGGGCACCACGAGGCCCCUCGCAAAGUCUCGCCCCAUUCCGAGUCCGGCGGAUGAACUUCGCCCGCGCCCCCCACCAAGGCUAUAGCCCACCCGUUUUUUGGCCAUUUUUCCGCUGGGGGGUUUUGGCACCACGACCUUCGGGCGCUUAUUUUUGGACGCGGCUGUGCCCAUGACUUCCCGCGGGCACCCCGAGGCCCCUCACAAAGUCUCGCCCCAUUCCGAGUCCGGCGGACGAACUUCGCCCGCGCCCCCCACCAAGGCUAUAGCCCACCCGUUUUUUGGCCAUUUUUCCACUGGGGGGUUUUGGCACCACGACCUUUGGGCGCUUAUUUUUGGGCGCGGCUUUGACCGCGGCUUAUUUUUGGUACCCCGAGGCCCCUCACAAAGUCUCGCCCCAUUCCGAGUCCGGCGGACGAACUUCGCCCGCGCCCCCCACCAAGGCUAUAGCCCACCCGUUUUUUGGCCAUUUUUCCGCUGGGGGGUUUUCGCACCACGACCUUCGGGCGCUUAUUUUUGGGCGCGGCUUUGCCCGCGGCUUAUUUUUGGUACCCCGAGGCCCCUCGCAAAGUCUCGCCCCAUUCCGAGUCCGGCGGACGAACUUCGCCCGCGCCCCCCACCAAGGCUAUAGCCCACCCGUUUUUUGGCCAUUUUUCCACUGGGGGGUUUUGGCACCACGACCUUUGGGCGCUUAUUUUUGGGCGCGGCUUUGCCCGCGGCUUAUUUUUGGUACCCCGAGGCCCCUCACAAAGUCUCGCCCCAUUCCGAGUCCGGCGGACGAACUUCGCCCGCGCCCCCCACCAAGGCUAUAGCCCACCCGUUUUUUGGCCAUUUUUCCGCUGGGGGGUUUUCGCACCACGACCUUCGGGCGCUUAUUUUUGGGGGCGGCUUUGCCCGCGGCUUAUUUUUGGCACCCCGAGGCCCCUAGCAAAGUCUCGCCCCAUUCCGAGUCCGGCGGACAAACUUCGCCCGCGCCCCCCACCAN